AUUUGACUCAACACGGGGAAACUCACCAGGUCCAGACACAAUAAGGAUUGACAGAUUGAGAGCUCUUUCUUGAUUUUGUGGGUGGUGGUGCAUGGCCGUUCUUAGUUGGUGGAGUGAUUUGUCUGCUUAAUUGCGAUAACGAACGAGACCUUAACCUACUAAAUAGUGGUGCUAGCAUUUGCUGGUUAUCCACUUCUUAGAGGGACUAUCGGUUUCAAGCCGAUGGAAGUUUGAGGCAAUAACAGGUCUGUGAUGCCCUUAGACGUUCUGGGCCGCACGCGCGCUACACUGACGGAGCCAGCGAGUCUAACCUUGGCCGAGAGGUCUUGGUAAUCUUGUGAAACUCCGUCGUGCUGGGGAUAGAGCAUUGUAAUUAUUGCUCUUCAACGAGGAAUUCCUAGUAAGCGCAAGUCAUCAGCUUGCGUUGAUUACGUCCCUGCCCUUUGUACACACCGCCCGUCGCUAGUACCGAUUGAAUGGCUUAGUGAGGCCUCAGGAUCUGCUUAGAGAAGGGGGCAACUCCAUCUC
rnacentral:rRNA from 1 species